UACGGGGGGAGCAAGCGUUGUUCGGAUUUACUGGGCGUAAAGGGCGCGUAGGCGGCUUUGUAAGUCGGGGGUGAAAGCCUGUGGCUCAACCACAGAAUUGCCUUCGAUACUGCAUGGCUUGAGACCGGAAGAGGUUAGUGGAACUGCGAGUGUAGAGGUGAAAUUCGUAGAUAUUCGCAAGAACACCAGUGGCGAAGGCGGCUGACUGGUCCGGUUCUGACGCUGAGGCGCGAAAGCGUGGGGAGCAAACAGG
rnacentral:rRNA from 1 species